rnacentral:lncRNA from 1 species
UGUGUGUGCGCGUGUAUCUCUGUGGGGGCGGGUGUGGAGUUCCGACCAGCGGCACCGUCCUCCCGCGAGGGAAACGGCCGGAGAGGAACGAAGCGAAGCGAGUGACAGCAAUGAUCGUUUGUUUGUUUGUUCUCAUGUGUCAUUGUAAUCGCACGGGAAGAAUUGCUAUGCGCAGGCGCAUGGGAUGCUACUAAAUACAGUGCUCAGGCGGGAGUAGGAAUAAGAAGUCGCACUUGUAGAAGAUAGACGAGUAAAUGAGAUUCUGGGAUUGGGAUGAAGAAAGGGAGCAACGAUCGGAGCAUUUGCAUUUGUUUAAGAGUACUCGGUGCAGCCGUGGAGUGACAAGCAUUGCAGGAAUCAGUUAAAGUAACACAAAAAUUGGUUUAAAAAAGAAAAGAAAAGACAAGACCCUCUGGUAAAAUAUUGUAAUCAGUGGUGGUUACUGUACAAGUUAAAAGAUUCUCCACUGGAGCCAAAGUGGGAAGGACCCUAUCAAGUCCUUCUAACUACGCACAUGGUAGUCAAGGUGAAAGGGUUGGUCCCGUGGAUACAUCAUACCUGUGUGAAGGAAGUGUCUCAACCGCACUGGACCUGGGCAAAUCAAACGGAACAAGACUCCUGCAUUGCAGUCAACAACAGAUCCUUUCCAAACACGCCUCGCUGGGAUUUUCAACGGAGCAUUCUUUUGUGGUGAGAAAAACAUAGGUGCCAGACUCCUUGUCGGCAAGACAACGAGGAAGAGUGUUUACUUCAUCCCAAGGGACCAGAUGGGGAUGCGACCAUCCAGAGGAGAAUACAAUGCGUGCGCCGGAGGGGAGGGACUUGAUUAAUGAAUACGUAGUGGGGUUCAACGUAAUGUAUGAACUUGACUUACAAAUAUGUAACAUUUCUGUGGACCGGUAUGCAAGUUAGGAGGAGCUAUCCCCCUUGCAUCCAGCUUUGCGCAGCGUUGAUUAAAACAUACCUG